UACGGGGGGGGCAAGCGUUGUUCGGAAUUACUGGGCGUAAAGGGUUUGUAGGUGGCUUGUUAAGUCAGACGUGAAAUCCCUCAGCUUAACUGGGGAACUGCGUCUGAUACUGGCGAGCUUGAGUGCAGGAGAGGAACGCGGAAUUCCCGGUGUAGCGGUGAAAUGCGUAGAGAUCGGGAGGAACACCAGAGGCGAAGGCGGCUAGCUGGACAGUAACUGACACUCAACUGCGAAAGCGUGGGGAGCAAACAGG
rnacentral:rRNA from 1 species